rnacentral:lncRNA from 1 species
UUGCUUCUGCAGUUUUGACUUAGUUUCUGUCAACAAUUCAACUAUGGUCAUUGAUAAAACAAGAUUUUAAAGAAGACGGACUUGACUCAACCAACACAAUAAAACAUAGAUGUUAAGAGGAUCAGUAACAUUUAAUCGAUUUGUCUCCAUUGGAGACCUCUUCAGAAAUAAUAACAUAACAAUAUGCUUAAAUUAUCAAACUUUUUUUCGAAAACAAGAUUCACAGAGCUGUAUUUAAAGCUCGUGUAGAAGCUAUAAAAGCUUUUUGAAGGAGUUGUCAUUAGAAGUAUUUACUUUGAUGGACGAAAAGACAAAAAUCAGAUAAAUAGGGGGACCGUUACUAACGCAAGGAAGUUAUAGAAGAUCACAUCUCAGUUUCAUUAGAACCUGGAUCAUUUUAUUUGGGGCACACAACGACAAGUCAAGUUACAAGUAGGGCUAUUUUUACUCCGAUCACAAAAUUAUUAGAAGGACAAGGUUGGAAUUUAGAUUGCAUAAUUUCCGUUGAAUGUGGCGGAACUACAACUAACACCGUUUGGAAAGGUGGCGUGAUUCAAUAUUUAGAGAGACUAUUACAAUGGUACAAUUGUAAGCUUCAUGCCAAUGAUUUACCCCUUCGUCAUUUAUUUAUGAGUUUAGCUAGUGGCACUUUGGUUCCUGAAGAAUAUUCCGGACCAAUUGGAAAACGAUUGGCUGGCUGUGAAAAUGAAACAGUCGUUCCUUUUUCUGCGGUGACUGGUAAUUUCCCUAACUUGCCGAAGAAUGUGGUCGAGAAGUGCAUAUCAAAAAUAUUUGUAUAAAAUAUGUAAAGCCGUUUCAACUGGUUCCUGUUUUCCUGAGCUGGCAAAUGUAAACCUGGAAAAUUAGCACACUCAAGAUGGGUUACUACUGCUAAUCGUUUACUCAGACUUUACGCAAGUACUCAUAUUCCAUCAAAAAAUCUCAAGUGCCUGUCAACUACGUGCUUAAAGUCUACACUUGAGUGUGGUUCCUAAUCAAGCAAAAACGUAUUUUAAAGAUGGACUUAUGCAUUUUUUUGAAAUGAUUAUUUGCUCUAGAUUUUUACAAGAAAAUCUUAGGUCUGUCGUGGACAGAUACUUUUUUUGCACACCCAGAAAACCUAUUUGUCAGUAUGUUGUUUGAUGAGUGAUACCACAUUCGGGAGUUGGCAUUGCGAGGAAUAAUGAAAGCUAAGGAAUCUGAAAUUAACACUAAAAGUAGAAUAUUUAAACCACCAAAAGUAAACUUUAAUACAAGAGACUACAGCGAAAUUAUUGUGUGGCACGAAUGUCAAGUUACAGCACCACCGGUUCUUCGAAAUAUUUCUAAUUUUGACCUUCAAAUCAUGCCCAAAAAUAAGAAAUUGUUGAUUUUCCUUGUCAUACGCAAUCAGUGGAAAGAUGUGUUAAACUGGUGACUGAAAAAGGAUGAUGUCCUUCAGUGUGACCAACCCUUCCUCUCUACCUCUCUUCUCCUCUGUCUCUUCCUAGGCCUACCCGAGCAUCCACUAGUGAUCUACGACUCCAGUUCGAAAACGAGCGUCAGGAAGCAUGGGAGCUCAAAAUGUUUGGGGAAAAAGAGACGCUAGCCGUUAACAACUUUAUGAUAAUUUCUUAAUUGAAACAUUGCCAUCGGGAUUUAUACUAAUUAAAUACCCCAAAUUGACCCUUGUUAAGCUGGAAUUAAUUUAUGAAUUUGUUGGCUUCAUUGAUUAAGUUUAAAUCUAUUUCUAUCAAUAAAGUCUAUGUCUCUAGAAAAGGUGUUGGCAACCUAUGGCAUUCGGAAGAUUAUUCACUAGCAUGCAAAAAUUAGAACAUAUUCCCGUAGUUUGUGUGUGCUUUUUACCAUUAUUGUUGAUAUUGGCACUCAUUGAUUAGAAAUGUUGAAGUUGGCACUCCAUGUCUCAAAGGUUGCCGACCCCUGGUAUAGAAGAACAUACCCCAUCAAAAAUUAUUUUUACUUUUCAAUGUUCUGAAGGAAGUGAGUAUGACCAGGAAUUGAGAUAUGUGUAUUGUAGAAGAGGAUAUCCCUGUAUUGAAUUUAAAACUCCUGCCAAUUUUGUGAAGUAUUACAAGCUUGGUAUACAAAAAGAGCUUUAAUGUACAUUUCUUCUAUAUUGAUAAGGACUGCAGUUUUCCCAUAGGAUACAUGUUACUUUAAUGAGUACCUUCUCCUCUGUUUUGGUUUUGAUAUAUUGUUCAUCUGUUGAGCUAUAAAAGUUCUUUUUCUUUGAAAAUCAUCUGUUUUAUUUUCAAUGGUAUUUAUAAUUUUUAUAAAUUUUUUGAAGCUCUGAUUCAAGUAUCUGGAGAAUUUACUAUUUCAAAUUUAUAGUACUCGUGUCAAAAAUAAUUGAUAAAUAAUCGUAAAUUUUUACUCCGUUCCUAAUCUUUCCUACCAUAAUCACAACUUCCCAACCAAUGUUGUAUAGCAAAGAAUGGUUACAAUAAUAAAUAUCUUACUCAGUU